ACCACUUCCCACGCAGAAAAAAACCACCCCUGCACAAAAAACUCUCCUCUCCACCCCAUCUCCGAUCUCCCUGCCGCCGACUCUUCGUAGCCGCCGCCCACGUGCGAACUCGUUCGUUGCCGCCGCCGCCGUCCGAGGGGAGACGCCGCCGUCGCGUCUCCAGGCAGGGCGGCUUGAAUCCCUGUCGCCGGGAUCGCCCCGCCGAACUCCGGGCCAUGGCGAGAUCCAGCAGGCCAUGGCGGCGACCAGCGCCGGGAUAGGACCAGGAGGCCGCCGGCGUCUCCCUGAUCCGUGACCCCGACGCCAUGGAGCUGCUCGUCAAGGCACGCAGGCACGCGCGGGUCCAGCGGCAGGAAGGGCACAGAGGAGGACCGAGCUCGCCGGUGCGCGUGGCCAAGGGAUGUAGCUGCCCGGAGCUACUUCGCCCUCGACGAAGAGGAGACCGCGGGCCAGAGCUCCUGGUCUCCCAGGGCCGCCGAGCGCAAGGAACUAUUGCCAUGGCACCUCCUCGCUCGCCCUCGGUGCAGCGGCCGUGUAUAUGGAAUUGUGCCCUGGUGGGGGCUCCGAGGGAGGAAACCGACUAGCACAAGGCGCUACUGCCAUAGCGUCCGGAGGGAGGCAUGACGCGCAGGGCUACAGGGAAUCCGCCGACGACAUAUGUGGCUUCUCCUACGCCUGAUGGUGCUGUCAUUGCAGCGGCGGCAGCGGAUCUGAGUCCCACCCGUUGGGAUCGAACGACAGAUGGCGUGAGGCAGUUGGAUGCGAGUCCCACUCCCAACCUGAGGGCUCGACCUUCUCGAUUCCUGGCUGCGGCGGGUGUGGAACUCCGAAGUGACGGUGAACUCGCCGGCGUCGCACUGCCCCCACACAAGCGCCAUCAGGUCUGCAAGCUCUGGUCGCUUGUCUUGAUAUCAGCCAUGUAAUCAUAUCUCACUUCAUUGUGCAAUCUUGUUUCUGAUUCUUGGAUCUUGGACAUCUGAAAUUCUUUGUUUGGAAGCAUAUUUUUUCAGAUUGUUUCAUCUUAGUUUAUUGACAACAAAAUUGUUAACCUUUCUUAAUCUUUGGUUGGACCAACUAAUUCACAAGCUUUUAGGUCAGAAUUUUCACGAGUACUCACUUAGGCUAUAGUUUUUCCUUUUCUUUUCUUUAACUCCCAGAAAAACAACAGCGUGCAUUGCAUCAUAUUAACCACUUGAUAUUACAGUGAUCAAUAUAUAGGAAUUUCAAUGCAAGAAACAACUAAUAAGGUUGCUGAAAGGGUUAGGAUUUGAACUUAAGGUUUUUUUCUUGCUUAGCACUUCAGUCUAUUGAAUUAAAUAGUUGCAUAUCUCUUCUGUUAUAAUUGGAUUUUUGCAAAGAUCUUUUCAGACUAAGAGAUCACGGGCUUAUUGGCUUAAGCAAAUGAUCAAAUCCUUGGGCACUGAUAAAAAAUACUGAUGUGUGUGUGUUUGUGUGGUGGCAGCUGGCAUGUGAGUUUGCACUGACACAUCUAAAUAUGUUUUCUUAACAAUUAGUGAUCAGGGCAACACUGCAACUCGUUUGUUGUGCAUGCACACUAAAUAUGUUUGACACAACUGAUGUUAAAUUGUUAGAGUAUUCACGCUCCCGUUGCGACGCACGGGUGAUUACCAGAUGAGUGUGAUAUGGUAUAUUUCAAAUUUUUGUGCAGUUGCAUCAGCUACGACUUGUAAGGUAUAACUUUGGGACUGUAUAUAGAGAAAAAAGUGUUUUUUCUGCACUACACACUUAAAUCAUUAUAUUGCUAAUGCAAGUGAACAAUCAGCAUUUCUUAUUGAGCCAUGCUAAUGUUUCUCUUUGUUUAAUUGCGUACUCCUUUUGUUUACUUCUUCAGAAAGCACUUCGCUCUGUUGCACACAAGCAAUAGCUAUUUCUGCACCAAUCUGUCCGAAGAUAUGAAGUUUGAACCAGCCCUUAGCUUGCAUUUGGUCAGUUCAUCUUUCAGGAGAAUAUGCAUCUUACUUAGUUCGAGGUGAAAUUUUGUUUGUUGCAUCAGGAAUCAAAAAAAUAUGGUGCCUCCGUAUCUUUAUAUAAAGUCCUUAUUAUAUAUGUUGCUUGCUUCCAUUGAAUUGGAUGUAACAUUGUGUACACUUAAUGUCGAGACUAAUGUCUAUCGCCAAUUUCAGUAUAGUCGAAACAUAUUGAUGGCACUGAAAAUGAUUCUGCUUUUGCAGGUCUGACGUGACUCUUCUUUGUACGUAUGUAAUUGGUUUAUUUCUUGAUAGGGUGGUACUCUCUGAAUUUCUUGAUGAGUGUUCCCGUUGCUGCACUGCAUUGUGGCCGAGUCCUCUUCUUGGCCAUGCCAGUGACAUGAGCAGGAUGGUGUAUACCAGCUUCCCAGACAUGUGUCUGUCGAGGACGCACCGGGUUUGUGGAGGUGAUGGCACGAGUAUUUACCAGGAUGCUUGGAGAUGCGUUGGCAUAUGUCUAGAACAACCUGGUCCACGCAUGGGGUCUGACUUGAAUAUUUCAGGAGAUGACUAGAUGUAAAUCUGACUUUCAGAUAAUACAUCUGUGAAUUACGCAGAAUCAUAUAGAGCAGAUGGGCAUCGUUGACACGUAGUGCAUGACACAUUGCACGAUUAACAUGCUCUUAGGCCAGCUAAGUAACAUAAGACAACUUUUGUAUGAAGAUCGGUUGUUCGGUUUCAUUCUGACAGUUUAGAAGCUUUUGUUUGGCGUUUCUCUCAGCCGGAUAAUAGAGAAAAAGAGACUUACGCAGGCAUCAAGGCUCUUUGAAGUCAUAAUAUCCAGCAUCACCUUCAAAUGUCGACGUUCUACCAUGAUUGUGCAAUAUAUUUCAAGGCCCAUGAUAAAACUGAAAGAGCAUCAAGGGUUUUACAGGUCAUGGUGGCUGGGUUUUGCUGGCGUUGUGGUCCAUGCAUACCAAUUCUUUGAAUCAGUGCCACCGUGCAGUGAUGUAAGAAAAAAGUGUGUCGUUUGUCGACUGUGGGCAAUGGAGUGAUGUAGAUGUACUGUAGAGUACAUAUUCAAGGGAACUGUGAGGUGACUUAGAUAGCUGUAAUGAGCUGAUGGAGCCUUUGACCUGAAGUUAUAUUUGUAUAGAUUACAUGAUUUGUUGAUGAGGAUAAGAAAGAGGAGCUGAUGGCAAACAAACCGAGGAAAGUCACCGAAGAUUGAGGUUGGGUGCGAUGCCACAUCAGAAGGUAUUUAGGCUAUGGGUGAGUUAGGGGCCAUGGAGCGAGCCGAUAGGAGGGUCGAGUAUGGUGCAUACAUGUCAACGUUGGUAGUCAGAACUUGAUGCUGAGUGCGGAUGGGAAUGAUGGGGUGAGGAUGGGCAUGCUUUAGUCCAGCAAUUUAUCAUUGCCAAAUGGUUCAAUCCCGGUGAUGUCAUUGCUGGAUAUGCAAGGUCUCAUUGGGCAAGGUAUUCGAAGUUCUUAAGUGCCUAGGAACCUAGCUGUGCUUUUGUAUUGACGUGAUUAGCAAGUGUAUUUACCGAAGCAUAGAUGUAAUGUGGGUUAUGUGUAGCACCGAAUCUGAGAUGGCUGCAAUCCAGUCGGUUCUGGCAUUGGAGAGUUACGAGUGAAUCAGACUUAAUCAGAUGGCAUCAACACUGUUAAUCAUUGGAAGGUCUGCCGAGCGUUUGAGACGAGAAGCAUGGUGCCAAUACAUACUUUUGGUUCUUAACCCAGAUGAUCUCAUUUAAAGUUGUUGGCGUUUGUUAUAAUCAUUCUUGAUGAGCUGCACAACGCUUCAUGUAUUGCACUACUAAUGUGUUUAUUUGGUGGUCAAACUCCUGUUCCACUCCUAUAUAGAUGCUAUGAAAAUAAUUUGUUUUGUUUA